rnacentral:rRNA from 1 species
AGCGAACGCUGGCGGCAGGCCUAACACAUGCAAGUCGAACGGAUCCUUCGGGAUUAGUGGCGGACGGGUGAGUAACACGUGGGAACGUGCCCUUUGGUUCGGAACAACUCAGGGAAACUUGAGCUAAUACCGGAUGUGCCCUUCGGGGGAAAGAUUUAUCGCCAUUGGAGCGGCCCGCGUCUGAUUAACUAGUUGGUGAGGUAACGGCCCACCAAGGCGACGAUCAGUAGCUGGUCUGAGAGGAUGAUCAGCCACACUGGGACUGAGACACGGCCCAGACUCCUACGGGAGGCAGCAGUGGGGAAUCUUGCGCAACGGGCGAAAGCCUGACGCAGCCAUGCCGCGUGAAUGAUGAAGGUCUUAGGAUUGUAAAAUUCUUUCAGCGGGGACGAUAAUGACGGUACCCGCAGAAGAAGCUCCGGCUAACUUCGUG